rnacentral:misc_RNA from 1 species
UGGUUCUGGCAUCGAUGAAGAACGCAGCGAAAUGCGAUAAGUAAUGUGAAUUGCAGAAUUCAGUGAAUCAUCGAAUCUUUGAACGCACGUUGCGCCCGCUAGUACUCUAGCGGGCAUGCCUGUUCGAGCGUCAUUUCAACCCUCAAGCCCUGCUUGGUGUUGGGGCCCUACGGCUGCCGUAGGCCCUGAAAGGAAGUGGCGGGCUCGCUACAACUCCGAGCGUAGUAAUUCAUUAUCUCGCUAGGGACGUUGCGGCGCGCUCCUGCCGUUAAAGACCAUCUUUAACUCAAGGUUGACCUCGGAUCAGGUAGGAAUACCCGCUGA